rnacentral:tRNA from 1 species
GGGGUUGUGGCUCAGUGGUGGAGUGCUCACCUAGCAUGUACAGAGCUCUGGGUUCAAUCCUCAGCACCACA